rnacentral:rRNA from 1 species
GGGUUGUGAGGUUAAGCGACUAAGCGUACACGGUGGAUGCCCUGGCAGUCAGAGGCGAUGAAGGACGUGCUAAUCUGCGAUAAGCGUCGGUAAGGUGAUAUGAACCGUUAUAACCGGCGAUUUCCGAAUGGGGAAACCCAGUGUGUUUCGACACACUAUCAUUAACUGAAUCCAUAGGUUAAUGAGGCGAACCGGGGGAACUGAAACAUCUAAGUACCCCGAGGAAAAGAAAUCAACCGAGAUUCCCCCAGUAGCGGCGAGCGAACGGGGAGCAGCCCAGAGCCUGAAUCAGUGUGUGUGUUAGUGGAAGCGUCUGGAAAGGCGCGCGAUACAGGGUGACAGCCCCGUACACAAAAAUGCACAUGCUGUGAGCUCGAUGAGUAGGGCGGGACACGUGGUAUCCUGUCUGAAUAUGGGGGGACCAUCCUCCAAGGCUAAAUACUCCUGACUGACCGAUAGUGAACCAGUACCGUGAGGGAAAGGCGAAAAGAACCCCGGCGAGGGGAGUGAAAAAGAACCUGAAACCGUGUACGUACAAGCAGUGGGAGCACGCUUAGGCGUGUGACUGCGUACCUUUUGUAUAAUGGGUCAGCGACUUAUAUUCUGUAGCAAGGUUAACCGAAUAGGGGAGCCGAAGGGAAACCGAGUCUUAACUGGGCGUUAAGUUGCAGGGUAUAGACCCGAAACCCGGUGAUCUAGCCAUGGGCAGGUUGAAGGUUGGGUAACACUAACUGGAGGACCGAACCGACUAAUGUUGAAAAAUUAGCGGAUGACUUGUGGCUGGGGGUGAAAGGCCAAUCAAACCGGGAGAUAGCUGGUUCUCCCCGAAAGCUAUUUAGGUAGCGCCUCGUGAAUUCAUCUCCGGGGGUAGAGCACUGUUUCGGCAAGGGGGUCAUCCCGACUUACCAACCCGAUGCAAACUGCGAAUACCGGAGAAUGUUAUCACGGGAGACACACGGCGGGUGCUAACGUCCGUCGUGAAGAGGGAAACAACCCAGACCGCCAGCUAAGGUCCCAAAGUCAUGGUUAAGUGGGAAACGAUGUGGGAAGGCCCAGACAGCCAGGAUGUUGGCUUAGAAGCAGCCAUCAUUUAAAGAAAGCGUAAUAGCUCACUGGUCGAGUCGGCCUGCGCGGAAGAUGUAACGGGGCUAAACCAUGCACCGAAGCUGCGGCAGCGACGCUUAUGCGUUGUUGGGUAGGGGAGCGUUCUGUAAGCCUGUGAAGGUGUGCUGUGAGGCAUGCUGGAGGUAUCAGAAGUGCGAAUGCUGACAUAAGUAACGAUAAAGCGGGUGAAAAGCCCGCUCGCCGGAAGACCAAGGGUUCCUGUCCAACGUUAAUCGGGGCAGGGUGAGUCGACCCCUAAGGCGAGGCCGAAAGGCGUAGUCGAUGGGAAACAGGUUAAUAUUCCUGUACUUGGUGUUACUGCGAAGGGGGGACGGAGAAGGCUAUGUUGGCCGGGCGACGGUUGUCCCGGUUUAAGCGUGUAGGCUGGUUUUCCAGGCAAAUCCGGAAAAUCAAGGCUGAGGCGUGAUGACGAGGCACUACGGUGCUGAAGCAACAAAUGCCCUGCUUCCAGGAAAAGCCUCUAAGCAUCAGGUAACAUCAAAUCGUACCCCAAACCGACACAGGUGGUCAGGUAGAGAAUACCAAGGCGCUUGAGAGAACUCGGGUGAAGGAACUAGGCAAAAUGGUGCCGUAACUUCGGGAGAAGGCACGCUGAUAUGUAGGUGAAGUCCCUCGCGGAUGGAGCUGAAAUCAGUCGAAGAUACCAGCUGGCUGCAACUGUUUAUUAAAAACACAGCACUGUGCAAACACGAAAGUGGACGUAUACGGUGUGACGCCUGCCCGGUGCCGGAAGGUUAAUUGAUGGGGUUAGCCGCAAGGCGAAGCUCUUGAUCGAAGCCCCGGUAAACGGCGGCCGUAACUAUAACGGUCCUAAGGUAGCGAAAUUCCUUGUCGGGUAAGUUCCGACCUGCACGAAUGGCGUAAUGAUGGCCAGGCUGUCUCCACCCGAGACUCAGUGAAAUUGAACUCGCUGUGAAGAUGCAGUGUACCCGCGGCAAGACGGAAAGACCCCGUGAACCUUUACUAUAGCUUGACACUGAACAUUGAGCCUUGAUGUGUAGGAUAGGUGGGAGGCUUUGAAGUGUGGACGCCAGUCUGCAUGGAGCCGACCUUGAAAUACCACCCUUUAAUGUUUGAUGUUCUAACGUUGACCCGUAAUCCGGGUUGCGGACAGUGUCUGGUGGGUAGUUUGACUGGGGCGGUCUCCUCCUAAAGAGUAACGGAGGAGCACGAAGGUUGGCUAAUCCUGGUCGGACAUCAGGAGGUUAGUGCAAUGGCAUAAGCCAGCUUGACUGCGAGCGUGACGGCGCGAGCAGGUGCGAAAGCAGGUCAUAGUGAUCCGGUGGUUCUGAAUGGAAGGGCCAUCGCUCAACGGAUAAAAGGUACUCCGGGGAUAACAGGCUGAUACCGCCCAAGAGUUCAUAUCGACGGCGGUGUUUGGCACCUCGAUGUCGGCUCAUCACAUCCUGGGGCUGAAGUAGGUCCCAAGGGUAUGGCUGUUCGCCAUUUAAAGUGGUACGCGAGCUGGGUUUAGAACGUCGUGAGACAGUUCGGUCCCUAUCUGCCGUGGGCGCUGGAGAACUGAGGGGGGCUGCUCCUAGUACGAGAGGACCGGAGUGGACGCAUCACUGGUGUUCGGGUUGUCAUGCCAAUGGCACUGCCCGGUAGCUAAAUGCGGAAGAGAUAAGUGCUGAAAGCAUCUAAGCACGAAACUUGCCCCGAGAUGAGUUCUCCCUGAC